AGAGUUUGAUCCUGGCUCAGAUUGAACGCUGGCGGCAGGCCUAACACAUGCAAGUCGAGCGGUUGACGGGAGCUUGCUCCCUGAUUCAGCGGCGGACGGGUGAGUAAUGCCUAGGAAUCUGCCUAUUAGUGGGGGACAACGUUUCGAAAGGAACGCUAAUACCGCAUACGUCCUACGGGAGAAAGCAGGGGACCUUCGGGCCUUGCGCUAAUAGAUGAGCCUAGGUCGGAUUAGCUAGUUGGUGAGGUAAUGGCUCACCAAGGCGACGAUCCGUAACUGGUCUGAGAGGAUGAUCAGUCACACUGGAACUGAGACACGGUCCAGACUCCUACGGGAGGCAGCAGUGGGGAAUAUUGGACAAUGGGCGAAAGCCUGAUCCAGCCAUGCCGCGUGUGUGAAGAAGGUCUUCGGAUUGUAAAGCACUUUAAGUUGGGAGGAAGGGUUGUAGAUUAAUACUCUGCAAUUU
rnacentral:rRNA from 1 species